rnacentral:rRNA from 1 species
AUUGAACGCUGGCGGCAGGCCUAACACAUGCAAGUCGAACGGUAACAGGAAGCAGCUUGCUGCUUUGCUGACGAGUGGCGGACGGGUGAGUAAUGUCUGGGAAACUGCCCGAUGGAGGGGGAUAACUACUGGAAACGGUAGCUAAUACCGCAUAACGUCGCAAGACCAAAGAGGGGGACCUUAGGGCCUCUUGCCAUCGGAUGUGCCCAGAUGGGAUUAGCUAGUAGGUGGGGUAACGGCUCACCUAGGCGACGAUCCCUAGCUGGUCUGAGAGGAUGACCGACCCCACUGGAAAUGAGACACGGUCAAGACGCCAACGGGAGGCAGCAGUGGGGAAUAUUGCAGAAUGGGCGCAAGCCUAAUGCAGCAAUGCCGCGUGUAUGAAGAAGGCCUUCGGGUUGUAAAGUACUGUCAGCGGGGAGGAAGAGAGUAAAGUUAAUACCUUUGCUCAUUGACGUUACCCGCAGAAGAAGCGACGGCUAACUCCGUG